CCUACGGGUGGCAGCAGUGGGGAAUAUUGGACAAUGGGGGGAACCCUGAUCCAGCCAUGCCGCGUGUGUGAAGAAGGCCCUCGGGUUGUAAAGCACUUUCAGUGAGGAAGAACGCCUGGUGGUUAAUACCCAUCAGGAAAGACAUCACUCACAGAAGAAGCACCGGCUAACUCCGUGCCAGCAGCCGCGGUAAUACGGAGGGGUGCGAGCGUUAAUCGGAAUUACUGGGCGUAAAGCGCGCGUAGGUGGCUUGAUAAGCCGGUUGUGAAAGCCCCGGGCUCAACCUGGGAACGGCAUCCGGAACUGUCAAGCUAGAGUGCAGGAGAGGAAGGUAGAAUUCCCGGUGUAGCGGUGAAAUGCGUAGAGAUCGGGAGGAAUACCAGUGGCGAAGGCGGCCUUCUGGACUGACACUGACACUGAGGUGCGAAAGCGUGGGUAGCAAACAGGAUUAGAUACCCUAGUAGUC
rnacentral:rRNA from 1 species